UCAGAUUGAACGCUGGCGGCAGGCCUAACACAUGCAAGUCGAGCGGCAGCACGGGAAGCUUGCUUCCUGGUGGCGAGCGGCGGACGGGUGAGUAAUGCAUAGGAAUCUGCCCGGUAGUGGGGGAUAACCUGGGGAAACCCAGGCUAAUACCGCAUACGUCCUACGGGAGAAAGCAGGGGCUCUUCGGACCUUGCGCUAUCGGAUGAGCCUAUGUCGGAUUAGCUGGUUGGUGAGGUAAUGGCUCACCAAGGCGACGAUCCGUAGCUGGUCUGAGAGGAUGAUCAGCCACAUCGGGACUGAGACACGGCCCGAACUCCUACGGGAGGCAGCAGUGGGGAAUAUUGGACAAUGGGGGAAACCCUGAUCCAGCAAUGCCGCGUGUGUGAAGAAGGCCUGCGGGUUGUAAAGCACUUUCAGUAGGGAAGAAAAGCUGUCGGCCAAUACCCGGCAGUCUUGACAUCACCUACAGAAGAAGCACCGGCUAACUCCGUGCCAGCAGCCGCGGUAAUACGGAGGUGCAAGCGUUAAUCGGAAUUACUGGGCGUAAA
rnacentral:rRNA from 1 species